rnacentral:piRNA from 1 species
UGGAAGGUUGAACACACUUGCGCU